CCUCCAUCCUGUCCUGUCCCUCCUCACUGACCUACUUUUACUCUCCUGGCCCGUUUUCACAAGCCUCCGCACAAUACAAAGCAGCUUUUACAGCUCAAAGAUGGGUUGGAGAAAAAAAAAAGGGGGGGAUGAGUGAGAGAGAACAAGAGACACUGAGAGGAGGGACGAGGGAGGAGAGGAAGGGGGAGAAAAAGGUGUGGGAGAGAGAAUGAGGAAAGUAGAGUGCCCAACAAAGCACUGCGGUUUUCUUAGGAAUGUCACCAUGUUACAGCUGGCUGGUGGGUGGCAUGGAGGCUGAGGUGGUUCAAAUUUCCGACCGAAGCAUCAGCGGGCCUACCUGUGGUCAGCUGCUUCCACGCAUGUAUGCCUCCUUCUUCUACCUGUCUAUGUGAAACUGAGAUGCAGCAACAAGACCAGAGCUGCUGUCUCGAGGUUCUCAAGAAAUGUGGGUGUUUCCUUGAGAUUGCAACACCUCUGUAUCUGAAAUCUGAGGCUCUCGUUCCUGUAAUGGCUCUUAUGUAACCGUAGUCAGCGGCAGGCUCUGCCCAUGCCCACUUGUUGUUCCCAACAGCUAUUGCUCCAUUAACCGCAGGGUCAGAUGGAGGAUGUGUUCACAGUCUGACGCAGGUUUCUCCCAAGACUGUUAUAUAACUUGUUUAUGCUUGUUGCACUCUGAUACAUUCUGCGAUUCUUCUCUCUUCUUUUGUCCAACUAAAGCACAUCUGUUAGUAUUGGCUCAUUUCGUGGACUACAUCAUACAGUUUGCUUAUCUUGAAGUACUACACAAUGUACUGUAACACUGCUUAGUAUGUGGUUUUAAAGGCAUGAGCUUUUCUCUCAGUAACUCACAGUGAAAGGAGCCUGUUUUCUCUGGCUUUCACUUGAUACUGGUUUAGUCAACUUCCUAAUGAUCUUAAAUACAGCCCAAAUUAAAAGCUCUCCUGUUA